CCGUGCCGGUGGCUCCCCUCGCAGCGGGGGGGGGGGGGGCGGCCCGGCCCGCCGCCUGAGCGCGGCCGUCGCCACGGCAACCCUGCGUCCCGCGGGGGGAGGGGCGCAGGUAGCGGGCGGCGGCGCGGGCGGGGUCCGGCCGCCGUUCCCCCCGCCGCCGCCCCGUGAGGCGCCUGUCGGCGGCUGCUCCCUCUUCCCCGGGGCAGCCGCCGCCUGUCCGCCCCGCUGCCCCGGCCCCAGCCCCGAGGGGCCUCCGCGGGCGGCGCGGGCCGCCUGGGGUCCGGCCGGCGGGGCUGCGGGGGGGAGGGCGGUGCGCUGAGGCGGUUGUUUGGCGGCGGCCCUGGGCUGGGAGAGCGGCCGAGGGGAGCCGAGGCGUUGGGGUGCCUUUCCUCAUGUCGGCGGAGCUUCUCCCCGGGCGUGUGCGUGCGGUGCCCGGCGCAAACUCGGCUGGGACUCCCGGGGGAGUUGCGGUGACGGUAGAUGACGGUAGAUGACGGUAGCGCGAGGACACGGGUCCUGUGCAGGCUGCGUCAGGCGAGCCCCUCAGGAGGUGAGGGGUUGCUCGCGCUUGGCGGCGGGAAGGCGCCGCGAAGGAGCGCGGCCGAAGCCCGGUCCGGCGAAGAAGGGUGAACCUGAGAAGGUGAGGUUUCCUCCCAGAGCUAGAGCGCCGAGAAGCCUGAGUCGUCCUCCCCAAACUGAGGGGAGCCAGGGGCACAAAGUCAGGUCAGCGCUUUGUGCGUGGAAUCCGAUUCCCUCGGCACGACGAUAACCGUGGCAGCCGUCGGCGUAUUGAAGCCAGGCCGCUUCUUCGGACCGUCCGGGGGACUUCCCUUAAUGUUGUGUUUGCCUGUUCAGCGAAGGCGUUCUGCAGGCAGCCUCGCUGGCGGUGAGCGUUCUCCCCUUGCUGCGCGAGUGUGGAGCCGCGCUGUUGUGCGAGCACAAGGAGGUGUGUGUGGGGGGCUGACUUCAGCAAUAAAAUGACUCCCCGCAAUCUGGGGCUGGGUUUCUUGUGGUCGCUGCAAGGGCAACGCAGCCUGCUGCCCUCCCCUUCCCCCUGCCCGACCUCCUGGGAGCCCGUCACAGAGUCCUUCCUCUGACCCAGCUCCAGCUGAAGCGUUGCUGACCUGUGUGUUGUGGUACCUAGCCAGCUCUGUGACUGGCUGCUUACGGUAAAGACACGAUACGGCUAUUCUGCUUAGAAAAAUAGUAGGAAAUUUGAGGUUUUUAACUUCUUUGACUGCGUUUUUAAUGCUAUCUCCAAAAUAAUUUCAACUUCUUGAGUUAAAAAGUUACUGCAGCGGAGGAAGAACACGUUCUUUCACUUUAUUUUUGUACUCAGCAAAAUGAAGGUGAGAAAAGAAGCGGUGAAGGCAAAUAUUUUGAUCUUUAACUGGUUAGACAAUUGAACUUUUAUGUCUGUAAAUGUUUUCACAACAUCAGCAACAAGUAAACAUUUUUACUGUCGCCUAUUUUACUUGUGAAUGCAGCAAGAAUCUAUCUGGAUUGUACAUGCCUUCUGUACUGAUACUGGCUUUAAUUUUAGUAUAAACUAGACUGGCCUCAUCUAGAGAAAAAACAAUGUAGAGAAAAUCAAAAUUCCCCAGAAAGUCAACUUUUCAUUAAUUGAAGUCUUCUGUGGACGAUUCCAUACUAAAUGUGGUACUUAGACAGUAAAGUUACAUCUUGAAGGAUAAAAUAAUGUUUUCUUUUUGCUCUAAAUCUUAAAACUCAAUGAAGUGCUUAGAAGUUGACAGUGGGCAUAGUCAGUAUUUGCCUGGACAACUCCUUCAGUUUUAAUUUGCUUUUUGGACAGGUAGAGUACACCGCAGGCAUGCCUGGACAUUUGGCCCUUCUGAGCAGUUUGUCAUUGAGGAGGCAGAUAGCUAAACUGUAAACUCAAAGCAAAACCGUUUCAACACUCACAGAUGAAUACCUCUUCUCCUUUUUUGACCUCCUCAUGUCCCUAUUUUAGGUGUGUUUAAAGAAAUGGAGAAACGUAUUGUAUGCAAUGCAUGCUUUUAGGUACACACUAAUAGUAUGUAUACAUUGAAAUACUAUUUAAUAGAAAAGUAAGCACCAUCUGAAGAGCACAUAAGCCUAAUUGAUUCCAGACACAACCGGCCUGGGUUUUUUUUUGUCUUAUUCCAGCUUUCUGACCUUGUAAAAAUUAUCUUGAUUGUGUUGUACCAAAACAAGGCCAUGAUCUUGCAAAAACUACCACGUGUGCUAGUGCUCAGAAGUACCAAGUAAAGCACUGUGUGCGGAACAAGUGUCGACAACAUUAGGCCCCAAGUUCGUUUGUUUGUUUUCCUUUGCUUACAUCUAAUCAUGAUGAAGCAAUAGUCUCACUUCUGCUAAAAGCUGAACCUGGGUUUUCGUUUUUAAAGGAGGUGAAAAAUGGGUAGUAAAACUUAUGGUUUGGGGUGAAUGAUAGGUUUUAAAUUCUUAGAGCAGUUCAAGCUACUGGGAUUUUAGGGCAUUUAGACUAGGGUAAAGAACAGUGAGGGUUUAAAAAUAGUAUCGCCUGUAAUUUUUUCAGUACUUGGGGUGGGGGGGGGGUGUAGUGGUAUCUUUGUUUUUCAGAAGAUUGUUUCUAGGGAUUGGUAGGAAAGUUUAAGGACUUACUGGCUUUGAUGAUAACCCUUGUGUUACCGUUGUGACUUUGUAUAAACAUGUAAAAAAGACCUAGGACAGCACAAAGUGUUAGAUGUGCUGCUGUCUUUGGCACUGGAGAACUUCUGAGUGUAAGUAUAUUUUCUGCUUGACAAAAAUCCGAGGCCCACGUACACUGAUCCUUUUAUUGCAAUAACUGCUUCUCCUAUUUGGGAACCUGCAGCUUGCUAGCCUUGAAUCUCUGUGAAGAGUUGUGACAGAGAAAUGUCUUUCCAGCAUGUUGAACUGAACAGAUGAUCCCUCUCUAUUUCUCUGAAGGCUCUCCCUUUGUUUUUUUCAGCAUCAAGAAUGAACUAUGUAUUUGUGCCUUUGUCAGCAAGGCUCCCAUGGGGCAAUCCUUGUAAGCACUGGGAUUGCCUGUUCCGUAGCAAGGAGGCUUAUAAAAAGCAAUUCCAGGUGGAAGUGGGCCUUUUCCUGCUCCUCCCUCUGUCCUGCUGCAAUUUCCUUGUCAUCCAGGCCCUGAGAACUGCCUGCCUUUCAGACUAAGCUGCAAAUGUAAAAGAGUUGUGGUCAGUUGAUCAAGAUAGUAGAAUAUCUACCUUUACUUAUGUUGAUUCAUUGAUGUUCUGGGGAGUUUCCUUGUAUAUAAUGUAGCACAUCAACUUGCGGUGGUCAUACAACAGCAAAUGUAACUUAAAAAAUUAAGCCUACCUCUAAAGAAAAUGAGCAGCUUUUAUGCAUCAUUAAAUUUUGUUUCUAAGAAGUUGGCAUCAGUACGGCUGCCAUCGUGUUUGGGCUUUUUAGCUCCCUUGCCAACAUUUCGUAUUUCCCUACAGAAUGCAAGGUGGACGUGGUGUGUGGCAAGUUAUUUAUUACAUUUAAAAAAUGACAGCAUCUGCAGUGUUCCGACUCAAAAGUCAUGUAGAUAACCUACUACACCAAAGAUUAAACGAUGAAUAUUAGUGCUAACAUUGUAUCUGUUGUCUUUACCUUCUAGCAACUGUUUUAUAACUUUUCUGCUAAGUUGUAGACAAGCUUCAGGUAAAACCCUGCCGCCUCAGAAGCCGUGAUAUAAUCUCUGCUCUGAGUGCAAAAAAUACGGCAUGUUCUAGCUUGCAUCUUUUUAAGAGAGAGAACAGUUGGUCCAUUGCUUAAAAGUUGUGCCAUUCAGUGCAGUGCUGCUUAAGUGUGCGGCCCAUGAAGUGUGACCUGUGGCGUUAUGGAUGCAGUGCACAUCCCCUCCCUCCUCUGCAACCACAGGAUGAAGACAUGAGGUCUUUCUGUCUUAACUGAAAUAAGCAAGUUCUGUUCAUCUGCCAAGAAUGUACAAGUAAAUAUAAUGAUUGUGUAAGUUGCUUGUAAUACCUAAGGUAUAAACAAACGUGUGCAUAGGAAAGGUAAGUUUCUGGCAGGUUUCCAGGGGAGUUCCCUCAGCGCUGCAGAACUGAGGCAUUCCUCUUUAAGGAUAAGACAAAUGUUAGAUAUUUAUGCAAGACGGAAACAGAAAAGGUGCAGGAUGGAGGGAUACAAAGUGAGGUGUCUGCUGGUGGUGGUGGUACUUUUAACGCUGACCUGUGGCUCUAGAUUUAUUUCCUCACGAUUGGCACUGAGUGGUAUUGAACACCUCUACUUUCAAAUCACAUCAGCACAAAUGACAAGUACGCAGCAUCUCGUGGAAUUGGAUCUAGCAUGUCCCCUACAAAAUGUACGCAUGAAGUGAGGUGUUCCUUUACCUGUGAGUUGGUAUUACCAGAGUACAUUUUGUUAAAUUCAGUUUUAGUAUUUGUAGGGUUCAAUUAAUGGUGCGUUGGUCUAAAUACUUGGAUGAUCAAACUCUACUUAGCCAGGCAGUUGUUUCUUUUCUUGCAGUGAGCUGCUGCGCAAGGGAUACGCACUCGGCUGGAUUGUGAGAAACUGUGAAGAUCGCACAAGUAAGUUUAAGUCCUUACGUGUUUGCUGACUGUAUCUCACACUUCUUGCAUGUCCCAGUACUCACAAUAAUUAUUGCAGGCUACAGCAUGAGUGUGUUACCCUUUUCCUCCAUAUUAUGCUGUUUCCAUAGAGUAUUGAUUCAUAUUCAGAGUUUUGGUCCUUCCCUUUAUGCUUUCUGUCCCAGCAAAAUGAAGACCACAGCUGGCAACUCCGCUACUCUGUUGCAGCAGAAGUCUUCCAUAAGCUUUAAACUUAACUAUGUAUGAGAGCGUUUUCUAGGGGUGGGUCUGAAAUGGCGGAAGGAACAAUUUAUUUUACUUUUUCUCUGUAUAAAUGUACAGUGAUUUUAUGUAUGUCCCCGUGUGCUUCUGAAACCAAAUUUUCCAUGCACACCUUUCUGGAGAGAGAAAGGACAAGAUAGGGAAAGAGACAGAAGAGACGCUGCCAAUUACUUUGCUGUAAGGCACCAAGAUACUACUCUGAUAAAUCUGCCGUAAGGAAACACAAAGAAUAGUAUGGAUUGAUGUAAUGCAGAGCACGUUUAGGAAACGUCUCAGUUACACCAAGCUGGGAGGAUGGUGACCACUAUGGAUGAUCAGAAAUCAAAAUGAACUUAGUAAAUGCAAAAGUGAAAACAAUCGUCAAUUUCUUGGAGAAAUCAAGGUAGAUGGUAAAUGGGGAGUUUGUAGAGAAUCACUAACAAAAUAGCAAUGGACAAUGCGCUGCCUUUGCAAAAUGCAAUGCUCUCUUAGGAUUUAUCAAUAGGUGGCAUAUGUAAGUCAUAGUGAAAGAUGUAAAGAUGAUUCCACUAAGAGCCGGUAAGGCCUCAACUGCAGUAUUACCUUUGGUUUCAUGUUCUGUGCUGAAAAAUAAAGUACAGGACAGGGCAAGAAAACAAAGAGAUGUAGAAUAUAAAAGGAAAUGGUGAAGGAAGGGAGGAUGUUGAGCCUGAAAAGUGAUUUUUAGAGGGAAUUGGAUAAAUUUUCCGAUGUGCAAAAGGUUGAAAGAGGUUUGAUCAACUGUUUUUGAAUGCUGGGGGAAAGAUGAGAUAAAUCAGAUCUGUACAGAGGGAAAAUGUCUCAGAUUGGAUAUUAGGAGGGUGGGAGUAUGAUUUAAAUUGGGUAUUAGGAGAGUGGCAGGGAGAGGCAACAACAACUUUUAAAUCGUUAUAGUGAAAUACCAGAACAAGCUACUUAGGAAGUUCGGGUAUCUGCUUCACGGAGGGUUUCUAAGAACAGGUUAGACAAACAUCUGUUGGGGAUUGUCUGGGGCUACUUUAUCCUGUCUUUGUGCGGCCGGGGGACACCAGAUGGUCUCUUCAGAUCCCUCUCAGUCCUCUUCCUAGAAGUUUACCAAGCAGGGAGGGGAGUGGACCUGAGCUUAAUGAGAAAACGGUAUCAUCCCAUUAGUUGAUCCUCUUUCAGAAUAGAAAAAGAAUCAGAGAGAAACUACAUCUAACUUAACUAUGUAUUUCUGACCGUGUCAGAGAAUGUCACACCUGGGUGCUCCUUGCAUGUGCAAACCCAGGAAAUAAUCGUGAUGGAUCCCUCUUGCUCCCCAGUCCACAGAAGGCACAAGUUAUUCAGUACCUGCUCUGAAAAAUCUUGUCUUGAAGGAAAGCUGAAUGGGAACGUGAAAGUCGGCGCCUUGCUUCCUUGGCAGGUGAACUCUGCGACUGCAGUGGCGUUUCCCUCCCUCCCUGCCUCCCCUGGGCUGUGCGUUGGGAAGUUCCAGUGAAAUAUAGCUGCUGUGGAAAGUCCUGCUCACAGCGAGGAGACGUGACCUCUCGGCGAGUCAGAUCCAAUUUUACAGGCGGCUCUGAGUCAGGGUGGAGCCCGUGAACUGAACUUUGUAUUUAAGAAGGAAGUGAUGUUGGUGGCAGCUUGUGUUGCUAAGCAGAUGAGUUGCCGUAUUUUUAUGUCAGCUGAUAGUUUCGUCGGGUGUGUGACUUCAUUCUUAGAUAUGAAGCCUUCCAUUUAUUAAGGACAAAGGUCAGAAAUUGUCAGCGCUGUGAUAGCUGUGUCUCUCCAUAUAAGAAGAGGCACGUUCUAGUGAGCCGCCAAAGAUGGAAAUGGGAGCCCUUAAUGCUGCUUCUGCACGGUGAAAACAAAACCGACCGUGAAACUGUCAGUUCAUGUCACAGUCCAAGAGCAAACAUCCUCACGAGCAGGGAUGCUGUGGAGUAGGUCAGUUCCCUGGUGUUGCUCCAUUUUUACAAGAACUCGCUACUGUUCCUGGUUAAAGAGGUGGCCUGUGUAACCGAGUGUCUUCAGUAGUAAUGGGAACUGGGGGGCUGAGGCGAGCAGUCGGGCGCUGGCCUGUUAAAUCAGAAUUUAGAUGGAAAGCUAAGCGAUCCUGCCUCUUACUUUGGUAAACUAAGCAGUGAGUCUGUUUGGGAAGGAGAGCGAGUUGUUUAUCGCCUCUGUGCUGCUGGCACUUCAGUGGGUGCUGCCUUCCAGCUGUACAGAUAGUCACGGGUAAGUGGCAGUACCUGGGCAGUGUGUCCGAAAGACUUGAGGGGGAGAAUGCCGGCAGGUUCGGGGCAGCUGCCCACAACUAUGUGCGUACCCACGCAACCCACAGUGACGAGUCACGGUGUGCUGUCUCGGGUGGCAUUUCCACCUACCUAUUCCCUCCUUAAAGUCUUUGGUUACGUCCUUAAGUUAGCCUUGAGAGAGCUACAUGUUAUCCUUGUUCUGAGAGAGAUUACUGUAUCAGAAAACUUCCACAGAAGAGAAUGAAUUUUGGGAGUAGUAUUAAUUAUUCUUCUUCUUGUUGAAUUCCCAAGGGUGAGGCGGGGGGAACACCGACGUCCCUCAGAGAGCUUUUGCUCCUGUAAGGCCUGGCAGCUGAGUGGCAUCUGGACACGAGCUGCCGGAGCUUGCUGCCCCUCUGCUUUUCUGGUUCAGUUCCUCAGCUGAGGAGUUCCCUGCCACAGAAGUGGCUGUUUGGGCUAGUUCCAGCUUUUGUCACUCCGGCUGGCCUGAGUUUCAAGAAAAAAAAAAAAGAAAAAAAACCCCAGCCCACACAAGUGUCUACCCUGGCUUGCCCUCUGUUCCCUUAGCUUUUUGGUGCCACAGGGUGGCUCCUUGUAGCACUUGUAUUUCUAAUGCUUUUAGCUUUUCAGCUGAAAUCGUUAAGGUUGUUCUUUCUGAUAGGAGUCUACUGCUUCCUGGUACUAACCAAAAUCCACGUGUUCUCGGUAUUUCAGCGUGCUCUACGUUGGUGAACAAUUUCUUCUAAAAAAGGAGUAUUACUUUCCUUUAGCAUAUGGCAUAUCAUUGUCGUCUGUACCCUUCUGGCCGCUUCACCCUCUCAGUCUCGUGUGCUUCCAUUGCUGCCUUAUUUUUGAGAAACUUUGAGUAAAACUGGCACUUGUGAAAGAAAAAGAAACUGUUUGUCUUUUUCGCUUCAUUUGGCCGAAACAAUGUUCAGAGAUGAAUAAAACGUGAGUGUGUGUCAGGGUCGUGUGAUUCCAGAGCCACUUCGCACUGAUCGUGGGACAAAACAUGAUGCCUUAGCUCAUCUGAGGCCGUGAAAUGGCAUCCGGAAUACCAAGCCUGAAGUGCUUGGAGGGCAGCUACUCCAAGCACAAGCUUGGGUUCCUGGUGCAGUUCCGCAUCUCUCCUUGCACAAACAGAAGUAAAAGAAAGGCUGUGAGAUGAGAGGUUGUUGAGGUUUGGGUACAUCUGUGCAGAAUUUCCUUGAGAGCUGCAAGUUCCUUCAUCAAAGCAAAAAAGCCUUUUGGAAGAAGGCAGCGGCAGCUGGAGGGUAUGGCACAGGCACGGGUCCUUCCUGUCGGCACCGAUGCACGGUUUGGACCAUCGGAGUGCUGAGCAGGCGGAUGUAGUUAAGAGGGCUUUUCUCAAGCAGGGUGGGCUGCUGCGAGGUCUCUGUGCGCAGUCCUCGGCAUUAGCAGCUCUCAGACAAGCCACGUAGCUGGACUGGGUUGUCAGGAAUGAGGCGCAGACUGCUGGGGCCUUGUGGCCCCAAGGCCUACCUGUGCAAGUCUCGCGUGGGGACUCGGCACCGUGAGGUGUCACCUGCUGCCUUCAGAAGUGACAACAUCUGGACCUUAAGACCACAUUUCACUGUACCUGUCUGUUAAAACAGAUGCUGGUUCUUCAAAGUCUGCUGAAUAAAUAAGCUUCCUUUGUAUCUUCAUGUGAUACUAAAUCAUUUGCAUUUUGUAAUACUGCUGUUUUAAAACGGAUGUAAAUGCUACUCGGUAGUCUCUGUGUUGUACUUCUUAUGGAGUACAUUAACUUAUCUCUGUGUAAUUAUGCCUGUCAUACACAGUGACUUGCUCAGCUUUGUCCAAACUAUCCCCACCUUGAAAGUUUACAUAGUUAGGUAAAGUGUAGCAAUUCAUUGGGGUUUUGUUGGUAC